rnacentral:rRNA from 1 species
GAUGAACGCUGGCGGCGUGCUUAACACAUGCAAGUCGAACGGAAAGGCUCCUGCUUGCAGGGGUACUCGAGUGGCGAACGGGUGAGUAACACGUGGGUGAUCUGCCCUGCACUUCGGGAUAAGCCCGGGAAACUGGGUCUAAUACCGGAUAGGACGAUGGUUUGGAUGCCAUUGUGGAAAGUUUUUUCGGUGUGGGAUGAGCUCGCGGCCUAUCAGCUUGUUGGUGGGGUAAUGGCCUACCAAGGCGUCGACGGGUAGCCGGCCUGAGAGGGUGUACGGCCACAUUGGGACUGAGAUACGGCCCAGACUCCUACGGGAGGCAGCAGUGGGGAAUAUUGCACAAUGGGCGCAAGCCUGAUGCAGCGACGCCGCGUGGGGGAUGACGGCCUUCGGGUUGUAAACUCCUUUCGCUAGGGACGAAGCGCAAGUGACGGUACCUGGAGAAGAAGCACCGGCUAACUACGUG